GUGGUUGCUUUGGCAGCACAUACACUAAAAUUGGAAUGAUGCAGAGAAGAUUAGCAUGGCCCCUGCAUAAGGAUGACAUGCAAAUUCAUUCCAUUUUUUU
rnacentral:snRNA from 1 species